UUAUUAUUGGCUUUAUAGUAUUUUGCUUUUGGUUAUUUGUGUUAUAUAAAAACUCUUCAAACAUGUUGCUGUGAAUAUGCAUAUUUUGAUGUUAUUUUAACUUAAUGAUAUUUUAUGCCUCAAACUAAAUUGAACUUUAUUAAUAUUUUAGUUAGGGAUUUUUAAUUUUCUUUCAAUUUUUAAGUUCAGGUCAUUCUCAAGCAUGGUUUAUCUAUUCAUGGAUUCCAAAUGUCAUUGUUGCUAAGAAGUAAGAAAACAGAAAAUUCAUCUCAAGCAUGAAAGAAGCAAUUGUUGAUGAUAGAUUUGAGGUAUCUCUUUUUAAUCAUCUUAUUUUAAUUAUCAUUUGAUUGUGGUACUAUUGCUAUUGCAAGUUUUUAGUUUGAUAAUGAUUAAAAGUUUUGUAACAUUGUUUUCUUUUAAACAGGUUUUGUAAUUGUUGAUAGUGGCAUGUGUUAAAAGACAAGGCUUGGUGAUAUUUCUUAUCUCUUUCACCUUGUCUUGGUGUUGUUUAUUACUUGUGAAUGUUAUAUUUCACUUUUGUUUCUGAGUGUAUAUAUGUACUGUAGUGUAAUUUAUAUUGAAAUUUUUUAUUUGUUCUUGAUGCAUUAUAGUCAAUAAGUUAAUGUCAUUAACUUAAUGUCUUUGGUUUGUUUUACAUUUUGUUCACUAAGCACUUAUUCAGCGGUUAUAAUUACCAAAUCAAGAUUGAAUAUUUUUUUAUCUUAUUUUUUGUGUUUAUUUGCUUUGAACUGUUAAUAAUGUUUGAAUUAUAUCUCUCGUGAUUUUAGGUUAGGCUUUACAAGCUGCUUAUAAAGCUGAUUGGUAUGUUCUCUAUAUAGUGUGCAAUAUGUCACAAUCUACGGAAGUUGUUCAUGAGGUAAUUUUCCCCCGCUCCUAAGUAUUGUUGUCUCUUUUUAUGCAAACCUUUAUGUCACAAUCUAUUUAAAUUAGUUCACUUUUAAUGAACUUUAUCCUAACAGUGUUGGAAGAACUUCACAUGUCUAUAUAACUGGUUUAUAUAGAAUUGAAAGAGUUUGCAACUCUGCAUCAAUAUACUUUGUUGGAACUAAAGUUUUACAUUGACAAAAGUAUUUACUGACUAGACGUUCACAUUUGAUCAUAUUCAAUUUUAGAGCCAAAAGCAACAAAUAGUUAUGAGUGCGGCUAUUAUGUCAUGAUACACAUGUUGAACAUUGUAUCUACUCGUGUUGUUGGUUCAUGGACCCAAGUAAGUAAUAUAAUUUUUGUAUCAAGUUGUAUCAAUUGAUUAGUACUAUUGUUUAUCUAAUUGGUGCAAGAGAAAACAAGCUAUAAUACAUGACCUAAUUUGGAGACAGAUCUAAAUUUAAGUUUUUUUAUUCUUUUUGUCCAGGUACGGUUACAAUUUUAAUGAUAUGCAGUUAACCCAACACAUUAAGAAGGGAUAUGAAGUUUUUUCAAGACUUAGAAUAAUUCAUUAUUGUGUUGGUUCUCUCUGUGUUAGAAUUGUAAUUAUUUUGUAGUUAGUUACUUAUUUCUUCAUGAGUGAUAUUACCNNN
rnacentral:lncRNA from 1 species